rnacentral:rRNA from 1 species
GAUUGCCUUAGUAACGGCGAGUGAAGCGGCAAAAGCUCAAAUUUGAAAUCUGGUACCUUCGGUGCCCGAGUUGUAAUUUGGAGAGGGCAACUUUGGGGCCGUUCCUUGUCUAUGUUCCUUGGAACAGGACGUCAUAGAGGGUGAGAAUCCCGUGUGGCGAGGAGUGCGGUUCUUUGUAAAGUGCCUUCGAAGAGUCGAGUUGUUUGGGAAUGCAGCUCUAAGUGGGUGGUAAAUUCCAUCUAAAGCUAAAUAUUGGCGAGAGACCGAUAGCGAACAAGUACAGUGAUGGAAAGAUGAAAAGAACUUUGAAAAGAGAGUGAAAAAGUACGUGAAAUUGUUGAAAGGGAAGGGCAUUUGAUCAGACAUGGUGUUUUGUGCCCUCUGCUCCUUGUGGGUAGGGGAAUCUCGCAUUUCACUGGGCCAGCAUCAGUUUUGGUGGCAGGAUAAAUCCAUAGGAAUGUAGCUUGCCUCGGUAAGUAUUAUAGCCUGUGGGAAUACUGCCAGCUGGGACUGAGGACUGCGACGUAAGUCAAGGAUGCUGGCAUAAUGGUUAUAUGCCGCCCGUCUUGAAACACGGACCUCCUGUGUGAA